rnacentral:misc_RNA from 1 species
GAUGAAGAACGCAGUGAAAUGCGAUAAGUAGUGUGAAUUGCAGAAUUCAGUGAAUCAUCGAAUCUUUGAACGCACAUUGCGCCCUUUGGUAUUCCUUAGGGCAUGCCUGUUCGAGCGUCAUUUAAACCUUCAAGCUCAGCUUGGUGUUGGGUGACUGUCCGCUUCACCGCGGACUCGCCUCAAAAUUAUUGGCGGCCGGUACAUUGGCUCUCGAGCGCAGCAGAAACGCGUAACUCGAGGUCCUCGGGCUGGCUCCCAGAAGCUAUCUUCACAAUUUUGACCUCGGAUCAGGUAGGGAUACCCGCUGAACUUAAGCAUAUCAAUAAGCGGAGGA